UACAGAGGGGAGCAAGCGUUAUUCGGAAUUAUUGGGCGUAAAGGGCGCGUAGGCGGCUUUGCAAGUGACGGGUGAAAUACCCACGGCUUAACCGUGGAACUGCCUGUCAGACUGCAUGGCUUGAGACCAGGAGAGGUGAGUGGAAUUCCCAAGUGUAGCGGUGAAAUGCGUAGAUAUUGGGGAGGAACACCGGUGGCGAAGGCGGGUCUCUGGGCAGUAACUGACGCUGAGGAGCGGAA
rnacentral:rRNA from 1 species